rnacentral:rRNA from 1 species
CAAUAGCGUAUAUUAAAGUUGUUGCAGUUAAAAGCUCGUAGUUGGAACGAUACGUUUGCAGAGCAGCCUCUUUUCUUAAGAGCGCGACGCGGACGCGGGUUCUUCGAGAACCUCUGUUACUUUGAGAAAAUAGAGUGUUUCAGGCGGGCCAGAGCUGAAAUAGUGUACCAUGGAAUAACGAAGUGGCUACCUUUCCGUUUCUUUGAUUUCGGUAAAGGCGGUGCGUGAUUGAUAGGAACAGUCGGGGUGAUUCUGUAUUGAACAGUCAGAGGUGAAAUUCUUAGAUUUGUUCAAGACGAACUAAUGCGAAAGCAUCUACCAAGGAUGUUUUCAUUAAUCAAGAACGAAAGUUAGGGGAUCCAAGAUGAUUAGAU